rnacentral:sRNA from 1 species
GUCUAUGAAGUCUACAGUGUAUGACUCACUGUGAGUUUGUCUCUACACUCACAGUGAGUCAUACACUGUAGACUUCAUUGUA